UUACUCUGGUUUCUCUUCAAUCCACGCUUAAAUCUUUCGCCUUUUACUAAAGAUUUCCGUGGAGAGGAACAUUAAAUGAGUCUAUAGACUUAUUUUUGUAACCCUACCUCGGUAGGGU
rnacentral:snRNA from 2 species